GUGAACGCUGGCGGUAGGCCUAACACAUGCAAGUCGAACGGCAGCACAGUAAGAGCUUGCUCUUACGGGUGGCGCGUGGCGGACGGGUGAGGAAUACAUCGGAAUCUACUUUUUCGUGGGGGAUAACGUAGGGAAACUUACGCUAAUACCGCAUACGACCUACGGGUGAAAGCAGGGGAUCUUCGGACCUUGCGCGAUUGAAUGAGCCGAUGUCGGAUUAGCUAGUUGGCGGGGUAAAGGCCCACCAAGGCGACGAUCCGUAGCUGGUCUGAGAGGAUGAUCAGCCACACCGGAACUGAGACACGGUCCAGACUCCUACGGGAGGCAGCAGUGGGGAAUAUUGGACAAUGGGCGCAAGCCUGAUCCAGCCAUACCGCGUGGGUGAAGAAGGCCUUCGGGUUGUAAAGCCCUUUUGUUGGGAAAGAAAAGCAGCAGGUUAAUACCCCGCUGUUCUGACGGUACCCAAAGAAUAAGCACCGGCUAACUUCGUG
rnacentral:rRNA from 1 species